ensembl:lncRNA
CACAAGGCUGGCUUUAUCAGCAUAUGGUUUGAAGGGGUAACAUACAGUCUGUGUAUUAAAAUGUAGCCUAAAUAUUGCAACGCAGAAGGUUUAUGCAAUAUCCAAGAACUAACCCUGAAAUAUGUCCUACAUUGUGCACCGUAUGACAGUUACGUACACGGAAACGCAUUCGGUUUAAACCGAAAGUAAAGUUCUAAUAGUUUGUCAACGAACGCACGCUCCUUUAUUCCUUCAGAUUUUGACCAAUAUCAACGUAUAACUCGAAUAUCAGGUAAGCACUGAAUCAAUAUAACGAUGCACUAAUCUAUAAUCAAACAAAAAGUAGUCGCUAAAUCGACUUAACGGGAGAGUUUUGCGAAAACAACGACAGAAAUAAGGAAACUAGGGGUGGACUAACACAAUUUUACUGUGAGCUUACGCGAAACCUCGAUAUGAACAACCUGGGACCUAUUUCCAUUUCUUUUUGGGUGCAGAUUUUACAAGGGACAAAAACGAUCGAAAUCGGUCCCGUAUUGAGUUGGAACACAGUAACCGGCAAGCGCAAAACAGCUGUGGGUUUACAAUGAAAUCCUAUGAGGCAAGCACCCUCGUCAAAGUAAACCGCGCGUUUUCGCCAAUUACAGGCUCAUAAUAUUAUUAUACGUGUCUGACAACAUGGAAAGGGUCCCUACAGAGAUAUGCAUGUGUCUGAUUACCUGAAUAACUGUAAAAAACUGAAUUGAACUGUUACUGUAAUUUCUCUUCUUACGGUUUGAAGGAGAUUUGCUUAGGUGUCCAAAUGCAUCCCAAUAAGUAGACCUACAUGUCUCCACAGAUAGGCAUACUUAAGGAGAUAGGUUCAAUGGCCGCGAUUCCACUAUCGAGCCAGUGCAAGCUAGGACUAUCUUUGGGCCAACCGGGGCUGAUGGCGCGAGAACAUAAAACACAUUUUCUAUUCUACUAAAAACCCGCCCAUAACGUGCGCCUUGGUGUAAACGUCAUCAAGUGGGGAGUUCACGUUGAGAUGAUAUUAUGCAAUACAUGGAUGGCAGGCACCGACGACCUACAACAGACUGAGUUAAGAAAAGGAAUGUAACGGAAACCGAAGUGACGGCCGUUUCGUAUCUUCGUUUUGUGGAAUGUACAGUUAACACUCAAAUAAAGCAUAUCCCUCAUAAGGUAAACAGACUCGUCAGACUCCUCUAUUUCUAAAACUGUCAUGUAGGUUACUGGAAUACUACCAAUAGCAAACCAUACCACAGGUAGUCUGAAUACAUGGCUCUACUAUAAGCCAGCUAUAGGCAUAGUUCACGUUAGAUAGUAAGCUAGUCUAUAAUUAUUUCCAUAAGUAAAGAUAACGUUAGCCUUUGUUUAAAGCACACCAUGACUCGCAUAUCAUGCUAAUCGUUCAUUGCAAUAAAUUAGCUUAGACAAUCAUGCAGUAAUUUGAUGAUAAUUAAACCUCCAUACAUAUUGUGUUCAUUUGAGCCAGCUGAAAUUUGUUGAAAUUAGAUCCAUAAACCAUUACAUACACCAAUUUAAUUGCGCCAUUUCUAAAAUUAGUACCCUGAUAGUUCUGAAAAUCGAUUUUCUUCCGCUUUUAUAUGCCACUGCAUGUUCGACAUCAACAACAAUAAAUAUAUUGAGAUUUGAGCCAGUAUGUUUUGUAUUUUAUGCACAGUAUAAAUAUAUUGAGAUUUGAGCGACCACUGUUCUGGAGCAUGACAUGCACCGUGUCUAUAACCUGCCUGCCUGUCAUGUAACACAGCCAGGGCAAGUUCACGUUUUUUUAAGUUAUAAUUGAUGCAUGCUCCAGUAGCAACUCGACAUCUCUUAGCUUUUACGCCCAUCAAUCAGAAUGACUCCUAUCAAAAGUAUUACAAAUGUGUUGGCUGUUCAGUCUCUCUUAAUUCAUCAAGCUACCAUUGUGCUUUUUUUUUAGCCCAAAUAUUAAGCCGAGACCUGAUUUCGUGUGCCGACCAGGUCCAACGUUUCUCCUUUUUUAAUUAUUGGUUAAGGUUAUUUUGGUAGCCUGUAGGUUAUUUCAUAUUGACUUCUUUUGGUGCUAAAAAUCUUUUACCUGACUCUGCAAGCCCUGCCUUUCACCUUGACACGCCUCAAGCAUUGUCGAGCCAAAAGCCCUUGACCCCUGGUCAGAAAAGAGCUGUCUCAGUCCGAUGCUGUCUUAUGGUUGCCCUUGCUAUUAGAACAGCUGAUGUGACGUAGUGGCCUGGUCUGGAGGCUGCAGAGGUUCAGUGAGUAGAUCAUUGCAGUCGCCACAACUCCAAGUCUGACAUUAAUUUUAUGCAAUAGUUGUGCUAUAAUGUUACUGAGGAAAUUAUUAUGAACUAUAUCAAAAAAUAGCCUCUGCCACUCUAUUUCUUCAAACUAUCACAUAUUACUAAGCAACAGUAAACAAACUAUCACAUAUUACUAAGCAACAGUAAACAAACUAUCACAUAUUACUAAGCAACAGCAAACAAACUGUCACAUAUUACUAAGCAACAGCAAACAAACUAUCACAUAUUACUAAGGGACAGUAAACAAACUAUCACAUAUUACUAAGCAACAGUAAACAAAACCAGUCGCCAUGGAUACAAUAUACUAAACAGAUAGUAGACAAUACUCUGAAUGUAUUGAUGAGAUCUGUUAUAGUUGAUCAGAUUGAUCUACACGUUUUGCUUUGGUUUGCUUUGACACACCAGAUGAGUAUGUGCUCUGACUGCCAUACCAUUCGAGCCUGGCUCUUUGGCGUUGCAGUCUGAGUGCAGGUUUGGUACUCUGUAGACCUAGCAUGGGCACUUCACUAUGUAUUUCCUUUACAUUACAUCCCUAGAAUGGGCACUUCAAUAUGUUUUUCCUUUACAUUCCAUCCCUAGAAUGGGCACUUCACUAUGUAUUUCCUUAACAUUCCAUCCCUAGAACGGGCACUUCACUAUGUAUUUCCUUUACAUUACAUCCCUUCCCUAACUCCGUGCUUCAGUGUGUCAGUAUUUCAUUUACAUUUAUAAAAGUGUUUCCCGUUUAUCGAUUGGUACUGAACCUUAAGAAUUAGGUAUGGAUUGUCCGUCGUAGGAACUUAAUGUCAUAUAGUUAUAUACAGUGAAUACUACAUAUAGUUAAUGUCAUAUAGUUAUAUACAUAGAUACUACAUUUCCAUUCAGUCAUCCGUUCAUUAUUUGUCAAAAAAGUAAUAGGCAGUAGUGGACUGAGUCAGAGAGGAAAUACACUUAGAAUAGCAUUCAUUCAUUCAUUCAUUCAUUAAUUUAUUCAUUCAUACAUUCAUUCAUCCAUUCUUUCUUUCAUUAUUUCUUUCAUUCAUUCAUUCAUUCA